rnacentral:rRNA from 1 species
GAUGAACGCUGGCGGCGUGCCUAAUACAUGCCAGUAGAACGCUGAAGGAGGAGCUUGCUCUUCUGGAUGAGUUGCGAACGGGUGAGUAACGCGUAGGUAACCUGCCUGGUAGCGGGGGAUAACUAUUGGAAACGAUAGCUAAUACCGCAUGACAACAGUUAUUGCAUGAUAACUGUUUAAAAGGGGCAACUGCUCCACUACCAGAUGGACCUGCGUUGUAUUAGCUAGUUGGUGAGGGAACGGCUCACCAAGGCGACGAUACAUAGCCGACCUGAGAGGGUGGUCGGGCACACUGGGACUGGAACACGGCCCAGACUCCUACGGGAGGCAGCAGUAGGGAAACUUCGGCAAUGGACGGAAGUCUGACCGAGCAACGCCGCGUGAGUGAAGAAGGGUUUCGGAUCGUAAAGCUCUGUUGUAAGAGAAGAACGAGUGUGAGAGUGGAAAGUUCACACUGUGACGGUAUCUUACCAGAAAGGGACGGCUAACUACGUG